UGGAGAUAAACAGAUCUCCCAGGUCCUCAUGUGCUGAUGUAAGCUCCAUCACCGCUAGGAUUUUGUGUCAACAAUUAUUAACUAACAAAUCAGUUGAUAGAAACAUUUGCAUCUAUGCCUCCUCAUCAUCUGCUUGACCUAUCUAGAACAAGAAUCUUGCAGCAUCCAUGAACUCAUCGUCUCCCCAAUUUUUCCAGACAAGAAGCGCACCUUGUGAGACUCCCAGAAAGGAAUAUCGGCUGCAACGAUGAUAGCAAUUUCAUCAGUCAUUAUUUCCACCAUAUCUCCAUCCCACUGAAUUGACAACUGAUGCAUUGUUGAUGGAAUACAACAGUUUGCAUGAAUCCAGUCUCAACCCAGAAGAAGAUUGUACGAACCUUUGCCAUCGAUGACAAAAAACAUAGUAAGUUGGGUUUUGCUACCAAUUAUCAAUUCGAUGUUCAAAAUUCCUUUAGCUUAUGAUCUCUUCCCCUCAAAGUCUUUUAGGACCAUGUUAGUUUUGAUUACAUCUUUAGGAGUCUUGCCAAAAGCUUGCAAUAAGUAGCGUAUGGCAUGAUAUUGACUGUACCACCACCAUCAACCAACAUCUUAGCUAUCGGCCGGCCAUCAACAUGCCCCUUCAUGUAUAAGGGCUUUUAAGUGUCGAUGUUUUUCCACCUCUAGCUUCUCAAAUACAACUUGCUAGGUCGGUAGGACCAAUUGGGCAACAUCUUCUUCAUCGCUACAAUAAAUUCCAAGUUCAGCAGACAAAAUAGAAACCAUAUUAAUUUCAGCCGAUACCUCUUUGCCUUUGUCUGAUUGCUUGAUGUGCUACUCCUGGUUCUGCUCCUUGUAGCGCAAAUGUUGAA
rnacentral:lncRNA from 1 species